UACGUAGGGUGCAGGCGUUAAUCGGAAUUACUGGGCGUAAAGCGUGCGCAGGCGGUUAUGCAAGACAGACGUGAAAUCCCCGGGCUCAACCUGGGAACUGCAUUUGAGACUGCAUGGCUAGAGUACGGUAGAGGGGGAUGGAAUUCCGCGUGUAGCAGUGAAAUGCGUAGAUAUGCGGAGGAACACCGAUGGCGAAGGCAAUCCCCUGGACCUGUACUGACGCUCAUGCACGAAAGCGUGGGGAGCAAACAGG
rnacentral:rRNA from 1 species